rnacentral:rRNA from 1 species
AUUGAACGCUGGCGGCAUGCCUUACACAUGCAAGUCGAACGGCAGCACGGGAGCAAUCCUGGUGGCGAGUGGCGAACGGGUGAGUAAUGCAUCGGAACGUACCUGAUAGUGGGGGAUAGCCCGGCGAAAGCCGGAUUAAUACCGCAUACGACCUGAGGGUGAAAGCGGGGGAUCGCAAGACCUCGCGCUAUUGGAGCGGCCGAUGUCAGAUUAGGUAGUUGGUGGGGUAAAGGCCUACCAAGCCUGCGAUCUGUAGCUGGUCUGAGAGGACGACCAGCCACACUGGGACUGAGACACGGCCCAGACUCCUACGGGAGGCAGCAGUGGGGAAUUUUGGACAAUGGGCGCAAGCCUGAUCCAGCCAUGCCGCGUGCGGGAAGAAGGCCUUCGGGUUGUAAACCGCUUUUGUCAGGGAAGAAAUACUCUGGGCUAAUACCCUGGGGUGAUGACGGUACCUGAAGAAUAAGCACCGGCUAACUACGUGCCAGCAGCCGCGGUAAUACGUA